rnacentral:rRNA from 1 species
AAGCGGUGGAGCAUGUGGUUUAAUUCGAUGCAACGCGAAGAACCUUACCUGGUCUUGACAUCCACAGAACUUUCCAGAGAUGGAUUGGUGCCUUCGGGAACUGUGAGACAGGUGCUGCAUGGCUGUCGUCAGCUCGUGUUGUGAAAUGUUGGGUUAAGUCCCGCAACGAGCGCAACCCUUAUCCUUUGUUGCCAGCGGUUAGGCCGGGAACUCAAAGGAGACUGCCAGUGAUAAACUGGAGGAAGGUGGGGAUGACGUCAAGUCAUCAUGGCCCUUACGACCAGGGCUACACACGUGCUACAAUGGCAUAUACAAAGAGAAGCGACCUCGCGAGAGCAAGCGGACCUCAUAAAGUAUGUCGUAGUCCGGAUUGGAGUCUGCAACUCGACUCCAUGAAGUCGGAAUCGCUAGUAAUCGUAGAUCAGAAUGCUACGGUGAAUACGUUCCCGGGCCUUGUACACACCGCCCGUCACACCAUGGGAGUGGGUUGCAAAAGAAGUAGGUAGCUUAACCUUCGGGAGGGCGCUUACCACUUUGUGAUUCAUGACUGGGGUGAAGUCGUAACAAGGUAACCGUAGGGGAACCUGCGGUUGGAUCACCUCCUUA